rnacentral:sRNA from 1 species
AGUAAGCGCGUUAGGGAUUGAAACGGCAUCCUUUUUGCUUUUUCAGCAAAAAGAUAUAGUGGAAAGCCCGUUAAAAC